rnacentral:tRNA from 1 species
GUCGGCUUCGUCUAACGGUAAGACGACGGAUUCCAAACCCGUUAGUGAGGGUUCAGUUCCUUCAGCCGGCGCCA